UCGGGAAUUUUGGGCAAUGGGCGAAAGCCUGACCCAGCAACGCCGCGUGAAGGAUGAAGUAUUUCGGUAUGUAAACUUCGAAAGAAUAGGAAGAAUAAAUGACGGUACUAUUUAUAAGCUCCGGCUAACUACGUGCCAGCAGCCGCGGUAAUACGUAGGGAGCAAGCGUUGUUCGGAUUUACUGGGCGUAAAGGGCGCGUAGGCGGCGCGGUAAGUCACUUGUGAAGUCUCUGAGCUUAACUCAGAACGGCCAAGUGAUACUGCAGUGCUAGAGUGCAGAAAGGGCAAUCGGAAUUCUUGGUGUAGCGGUGAAAUGCGUAGAUAUCAAGAGGAACACCUGAGGCGAAGGCGGGUUGCUAGGCUGACACUGACGCUGAGGCGCGAAAGCCAGGGGAGCAAACG
rnacentral:rRNA from 1 species